GUGAGGCGCUGCUGGGGCCUGCUCUGGUUCCAGGACCCAUGUCUGCACAGAGAGGGGAGCUCAGGCCCCCUGUCCCGCAGGUGCCCGCAUGAAGCACCGCGUCCUCGCCAGGCAGGCCCUGCGGAUGCUCCAUGAGGACCCGUCCCCAUGCACAGACAAGUGCUGGCGCCUGGCCCAUCCUCCGCGUGCCACUCCCGCGUUGCUGGGCAGAUUGCAGCUCAGAAGAUGCUGCUGCAUGUGGCUAACGGCAUCCCGCAGGAGCUGAGGGCACACAUGCAGCCCUCCCUGCCCUCCAGCUUCUUCCACGGCGAGGAAAACUGGGUGCUGAAGCUGUUUCUAGAAGGCCUCUUGCACAAAACCGCCAUCCUCCUGGAUGUGGUGGGCAUGAUUAUGCAGGACCCAAGCAACCGACCAGGAGCCCGCCCUGCGUGGUAGGCCCUGGGCCCUGACUACAUGAGUGAGCUGCUGUGCCUGUCCCUGAGCUUCGAGGGUCCAGAAACGCAGCCCUUCAGCCUCUUCCUGUCCCACGUGGUGGCAGAAACCUGAGUGGUGUCCCUGGGCAAAGUCGCUCGACCUUCAUUGUCUCUAAAACCUUCAGGAGGCCGCACCUCGGCCACAAACCACCUGUAGCUGAGCAGAUUCGUGUCUGUCGUUUCCCUGGGAAGACACUGGAAUGCCCAGGUGCGGCUGGAGCCCCGACAGCUGUCAGGAUGCACUGCGUUAACCAAGGCCGGUUCCCCAAGACCAGGGCCGUCCGCCCACGACACCCCUGGAGUCAUUCUUUGUGUUUUUGCACACAUGAGUCUAAGAGCCUAAAUUAUUUUUGGAAAUCAUUUUGAAACUUUCAAAGAUUAUGUAAAAGCUAUCUGGUUUUUUGAGCAAUGUUUAACUGAGUGAAGUAAAAAGUUUCUUUGGUAUUUUUUCAGUGCCCAUGUUCACCUCUGCUGGUUUUGAUUCCAGGGAUGGGGAACAAGUCGGUAUGUCCCCCUGCAGCCACCAGGCCCAUUUGUUGUCACUGUGCCUCAGGGCGGGGGUGGCAUGCAGCCUCUUGUUGCCCCAAGGGUCCGAAGUAAAGCUGCCCAGUGCUGCGUGCUCACUUGGGAGCCGUGUGGAGGAGAGCAGGUCUCCCCCACACGGAGCUGGAGCCCACAGUGCUGGGGUGGUACAGGGUCACCAGCACACCCCACACACUCAGAGGUGGCCCCGUGACAGAGACCAGCCUCAGCUCUGGCCCCGCCCGGCGGGGUUGGCAGCAGCUAUGGGUCCCGUCUGGUUGGGGUGUUUCCUCCCCUCCUGCCUGAGCCCUCCGUGGGGACCCUGCCGAGGGGUCAGAGCACUCCACACAGCUUUUUGAUUCUUAUUCCUGAGCACUGAUAUCAGCACAAAGGGGCCCCUGCCCUGGGGUCUUGCUGCGCCCACCCUCCACAGCCCCCGGGGAGGCCCAGCAGCACCUGGGGUGGCCGUUUCCAGGCCAGCGAGAAGCCCUGUGGUCUCUCCCCAGCAACCCAGUUAGUGGAGCUAAUUUCAGAACGGUGUCUCGUCUCCCUGGACCCGUUCCAGGCACCUGCGAGGCAGCGGUCAGCUGGAGGACAAGCUGUCUGCCUCCCUCCCGAGCAUCCUCCUCCCACCGUGGAUCCAGACCUGCCAGGUCCCCCUGGGGCGGGCUCCAGUGCAGGGGGCCUGGACUGGCACGUGUUGGGGUCCACAAGUCCACCCUCCCAGGAAGGUGAGAAACAGGACCUGCCGGGUCCCCUGACACUCACCAAGGACUGGGGAUGCCUGACACGAGCAGGCAUACGUCAGCUCAGCCACCGUGUGGGGUCAUGGCCUCCGUCACACAAGCCUGCCUAGGUCAGCACAAGGACCGGUUCUGAAUCCCAAGGGCAGCGGGCGUGACUGGCACCCAGACUGGAAACAGCACAGCAUGCCAGGAGGGCAGGCCUGGCUCCAGCUGUCCUGGCGGCACCAUGGCACCCCGGUGUAUUCAAGCACAAGACGCAGCCCCACAUGUGGACUGAUUGCCGCUGUGACCACAAUGGAUGGACUUCCUGAUCCCACAGUGAGAGCUGGAACAGCUCCCGAAAUCCGGGUCCAAGCAGACCAUGGAGGGCCAUGCCGGCCGGGCCACACCAGAGCUUCUCCCAGGGGCUCUCGGGUCACUGUUGGGCUGGAACCUGGUCCUGGGCACCCAGCUCUGCCCGUGCCCUCAAGGGGAAGGCAGGACUGGUAAGGGGGUCUGGCUGGUCUGGGUCUCAGUCCAAACCUUGAGCAAGUCCUGGGGGCCGAUGCAACACCCUGUCCUGAGCACCCAGCCCAUGUGAGCAGAGCCCCAGGCAGCCUGGGUGACAGGCAUGCACCUAGGGUAGGCAGGAACAGGCACAGCAAGGCCAGCUCUGCUGACCAUCUGCCCUGAGGUGGACGCCAGUGCCCUUGGCUCUAAGCCCCCCACCCCCAUAAAUCCGUAAUAAAAAUAAUCCUGAG
rnacentral:lncRNA from 1 species